UUUAAACCAAAUUUUUUCCCAAAAAAACUUAUUACAGACCAUUUUUUUAAAAAAAAAAAUUCUGAAAAGCUUCCCUUUUUUCUCUAAACUCACCUCUACUUCUGCCAUGGCACUGUCAUUUGUCCGCCAAGGCCACCAGUCAUCGACGACGGCGACUGCAGUCUCCGAUGGCCAAAAAAAUAAAAAAAAAGGUUACUUUUUUUAAAAAAAUCCCCUUUUGAACCCUUUCAACCCUUUUUCUUAAAAAAAAAGAAAAAAAAGAAUCGAUUUUUAAAGAGAAUGCCGAAACCCUAAAAAAUUUCAAAAAAACCUUUCGAUUUCUAGUCCUCUGAUGAGGCUUGCCGCGAACCACUGAAGGUUCGAUAGCCUUCUAGGCCAAAGGAGUCUCUAGCGACGGCGACGAGGUGCCUCUAGAGUCAAUGAGGUGGCAGAUAAGUCGGUGGUGGCAGAGGCUAGGAGCAGCACGAGCUAGGGUAGGGGGAGCGACGGCGGCAGGCUAGGCUUUCUUUCUUUUUUUUUUUUUUUGAAAAGAUGUUUUACGCUACUAGGGUUUUUUGAUUUGGGUUAUAUUAGGCCAUUAUAAAUUUGGGUCUAAUGUUUGGAAA